rnacentral:rRNA from 1 species
CUUUCAACAACGGAUCUCUUGGUUCCAGCAUCGAUGAAGAACGCAGCGAAAUGCGAUAAGUAAUGUGUAUUGCAGAAUUCAGUGAAUCAUCGAAUCUUUGAACGCACAUUGCGCCCCUCGGUAUUCCGGGGGGCAUGCCU